CGGACGGGUGAGUAAUGUCUGGGAAACUGCCUGAUGGAGGGGGAUAACUGCUGGAAACGGUAGCUAAUACCGCAUAACGUCGCAAGUAACCAAAGAGGGGGACCUUCGGGCCUCUUGCCAUCGGAUGUGCCCAGAUGGGAUUAGCUAGUAGGUGGGUAACGGCUCACCUAGGCGACGAUCCCUAGCUGGUCUGAGAGGAUGACCAGCCACACUGGAACUGAGACACGGUCCAG
rnacentral:rRNA from 1 species